GCCACCGCCCUCCUAUAGCUGGCGCACGCGCGCUUGCUUCUCGCACGCGGACGGCCGUUGAAAGCGCGAGGCGCGGGGCGGGGCGGAGCCUGUAUGCGGGCUGUGGCGGGGCGGAGGUGCUGAGCAGUCCUUGUGAAACUAGGUGGUACUGUACUGUAAAACCAAGUGGUACUGCACACCCACAGCAGGAGCCCGGGGGGCUACACAGAGCUUGAGCUCACCGUCGUUUGGCAGUGGUAACGACAGAGGAGAUGGAGAUGCAGAAUGCUGCCUGAGAAACAGCUCUAUGAUUCCCGCCCUGCUGGGACACGGUGGGUUGGGAACCAGCAGCAGGAAAGCAGCGUUUGUACACACAGACUUCAUGAAACUGAGGAGCAAGUUUCAUUUUUUAAUCGGGAACUGAUUUCUGCAACAGUACAUCUGCUAGAACGUGAGCGUAUGUAUUGCUGUGCCAACAAACUUAGCUACACAGAACUGGCCCCGUGCAGUAACACUGCUGCAGUCAGACAGUGACCAAACUGAAUUCCUGCUUCUCACAGCCAGAAUGUUGUCCAGAAGGCAAAGAUGCACCAAUAUCUGUUUGAGCCCAGGGUACAGCAGGAACCUGGUAUAACGAGACACGUGUGCAGAAGAAGGGUGGGAAGAAUAAAAAAGUGAUUUAAUGGUACAUGACAUGAAUGGAGAAACCUACAGUGUAAGAAUAUACUGCUAAAGAAGAAUAGAAAGCAGAGACGCUCACCCCCCUCCAGCAAAGAUGAAAUCUAAGGAAAUAAAGCAAUUAAGAAAUCCAUCUCAAAGUACCUGGAGAACUGCAGACAAAACACAGCAGACAGACCUCAUUAAAGUUACCGGCAAUCAGCUGCUACGACGUUUAAUUAUUGGAGUUCAGACACUGUCAUUAUGAAGGUAAGAAAACCCAUGUAACAGAUAUAGAUACUCCUAACGAACAUCUAUUUUAAUUCUCACACUUUAUAAAUUCUGUUAUAAUUUUUGCUUGGAGAGUAAUCAGCGGCUUUAAACUAAUCCCAAAUGAAGCUUUAGAAGAAUCAAAUCUCAUCAUUUCCAGCCAGAACAAAGAGCGUGGAACUUGGUUCUUAUAGCGUUAAAUUGGAAGCGCUCUUGGAUAUUUCCACUGUAAGCACUUAGGCUAUAGUAAAGGUAGUGACCAAAA